AUUGAACGCUGGCGGCAUGCCUUACACAUGCAAGUCGAACGGUAACAGGUCUUCGGAUGCUGACGAGUGGCGAACGGGUGAGUAAUACAUCGGAACGUGCCUAGUAGUGGGGGAUAACUACUCGAAAGAGUGGCUAAUACCGCAUGAGAUCUACGGAUGAAAGCAGGGGAUCGCAAGACCUUGUGCUACUAGAGCGGCCGAUGGCAGAUUAGGUAGUUGGUGGGAUAAAAGCUUACCAAGCCGACGAUCUGUAGCUGGUCUGAGAGGACGAUCGGACACACUGGGACUGAGAAACGGGCCAGACUCCUACGGGAGGCAGCAGUGGGGAAUUUUGGACAAUUGGCGCAAGCCUGAUCCAGCAAUGCCGCGUGCAGGAUGAAGGCCUUCGGGUUGUAAACUGCUUUUGUACGGAACGAAAAGCCCCGGGUUAAUACCCUGGGGUCAUGACGGUACCGUAAGAAUAAGCACCGGCUAACUACGUGCCAGCCGCCGCCGUAA
rnacentral:rRNA from 1 species